AGUCGUAACAAGGUUUCCGUAGGUGAACCUGCGGAAGGAUCAUUAUUGAAUCUAAAUCCAACCCCGGGGCCCCGGCGGCCGUGCUUCGCGGCCGGCUGUCGAGGUCCUUCUACCCCUUGUGAACCGGUAACCCCUCUCCUUGUUGUUGCAGUUGUUGUUGCGCUGUCCUCGCGGACGCGCGCGGCGGCGGCGGCAGGGAGGGACCAUUUAUACGUUAAACCUGUUAUCGUGUAUGUCUCUAUUGCAUAAGCGAUUAUGCUCUAGUACGUGCGCCAAUUGUACAUUUGAGUCGAGCACACAACCCCUUCACGGGGGGAGAGUUUCCACACACUUGUCCAAAAGCACUGCUGUUGCAUAGUUAAUUCAUUUAUUAAUUAUACAAUACAACUUUUAACAAUGGAUCUCUUGGCUCUC
rnacentral:misc_RNA from 1 species